rnacentral:tRNA from 1 species
CGAGGUAGCUCAGUUGGUUAGAGCAUCGGAUUGUGGAUCCGAGGGUCAUGGGUUCGAAUCUCUUCCUCG